rnacentral:rRNA from 1 species
GAUGAACGCUAGCUACAGGCUUAACACAUGCAAGUCGAGCGCCCGGCGCACGUGUGAGGAACACGUAACCAACCUGCCCUUUGCGCGGUGAUAGCCUUACGAAAUACAGAUUAAUACACGAAAUAAUGGAGAGGGAUGCGUUGCAUUAGGUUGUUGGUGAGGUAACGGCCCACCAAGCCUUCGAUGGCUAGUGGUUCUGAGAUGAAGGUCCCCGACAUUGGAACUGAGGCCCGGUCCAAACUCGUACGGGAGGCAGGAGUGAGGAAUAUUGGUCAGUGGGCGUUAGCCUGAAACAGCCAAGUAGCGUGAAGGAUGAAGGGUUAUGGGUCGUAAACUUCUUAUAUAUAAGAAUCUGUAUUAUAUGAAUAAGGAUCGGCUAACUCCGUGCCAGCAGCCGCGGUAAUUC